rnacentral:rRNA from 1 species
CCUACGGGAGGCAGCAGUGAGGAAUAUUGGUCAAUGGACGCAAGUCUGAACCAGCCAUGCCGCGUGCAUGAAGACGGCUCUAUGAGCUGUAAACUGCUUUUGUACGAGGGUAAACGCAUAUACGUGAAUGUGUCUGAAAGUAUCGUACGAAUAUGGACCGGCUAACUCCGUGCCAGCAGCCGCGGUAAUACGGAGGAUUCAAGCGUUGCCCGGAUUGGUUGGGUUUAAAGGGUGCGUAGGCGGUCGGAUAAGUUAGAAGUGAAAUCCCGAGGCUCAACUUCGGAAUUGCCUCUGAUACUGUACGGCUAGAGAGUAGUAGCGGUAGGCAGAAUGUAUGGUGUAGCGGUGAAAUGCGUAGAGAUCAUACAGAACACCGAUAGCGAAUGCAGCUUACC